rnacentral:rRNA from 1 species
AUUGAACGCUGGCGGCAUGCCUUACACAUGCAAGUCGAACGGCAGCGGACCUUCGGGUGCCGGCGAGUGGCGAACGGGUGAGUAAAGUAUCGGAACGUACCUUUCAGUGGGGGAUAACGUAGCGAAAGUUACGCUAAUACCGCAUAUUCUGUGAGCAGGAAAGCAGGGGAUCGCAAGACCUUGCGCUGAUUGAGCGGCCGAUAUCAGAUUAGCUAGUUGGUGAGGUAAAGGCUCACCAAGGCGACGAUCUGUAGCGGGUCUGAGAGGAUGAUCCGCCACACUGGAACUGAGACACGGUCCAGACUCCUACGGGAGGCAGCAGUGGGGAAUUUUGGACAAUGGGGGCAACCCUGAUUCAGCCAUGCCGCGUGAGUGAAGAAGGCCUUCGGGUUGUAAAGCUCUUUCGGCCGGGAAGAAAUCGCGCCAGUUAAUACCUGGUGUGGAUGACGGUACCGGAAUAAGAAGCACCGGCUAACUACGUGCCAGCCGCCGCAGUAA